rnacentral:rRNA from 1 species
ACGAACGCUGGCGGCAUGCCUAACACAUGCAAGUCGAACGAGACCUUCGGGUCUAGUGGCGCACGGGUGCGUGACGCGUGGGAAUCUGCCCUUUGCUUCGGAAUAACAGUUAGAAAUGACUGCUAAUACCGGAUGAUGUCUUCGGACCAAAGAUUUAUCGGCAAAGGAUGAGCCCGCGUAGGAUUAGGUAGUUGGUGGGGUAAAGGCCUACCAAGCCGACGAUCCUUAGCUGGUCUGA